rnacentral:rRNA from 1 species
CCUACGGGUGGCAGCAGUGGGGAAUAUUGCACAAUGGGGGCAACCCUGAUGCAGCGACGUCGCGUGAGCGAUGAAGUAUCUCGGUAUUGAAAGCUUUAUUAGCAGGGAAGAAAAUGACGGCACCUGACCAAGAUGCUCCGGCUAACUCCGUGCCAGCAGCCGCGGUAAUACGUAGGGGGCAAGCGUGAUCCGGAUUUACUGGGUGUAAAGGGAGCGUAGACGGCUUGUCAAGUCAGCUGUGAAAGGCUGGGGCUCAACCCCAGGACUGCAAUUGGAACUGUCAGGCUAGAGUGUAGGAGAGGCAGGCGGAAUUCCUGGUGUAGCGGUGAAAUGCGUAGAUAUUAGGAAGAACACCGGUGGCGAAGGCAGCCUGCUGGACGGUGACUGACGUUGAGGCUCGAAAGCGUGGGUAGCAAACAGGAUUAGAUACCCGAGUAGUC